rnacentral:lncRNA from 1 species
AUGCAGGAAUGUCAGGCGUGUUUAAAAUGUGAAGAAGGAAUGGUGGCCAUGCCUUGUUCCACCGUCAGCGAUACCGUUUGUUCAGCAACCAGUGAAAACAAGCUUUCAGAGUCUUGGGCCGCAAACAUCAUUCUACCCUCUGCAAAGUCUGGCAUCUCUCAGGUCUACUCUGGCUUAAACUUGAAGAUAAAGGGAAAGCUUCCCUGUGAAAUCCUAUCAGUUGAAGAUAACAGCUUGGUAUUCAGGCAGCACGGUCUGUUGUGGACUGACCUAAAUUUUGCAGUAAAGCACAACUGCAGGAAUUUUUUGCAACUUUCCUUAAAGCUAAAUGGAAGUGAAGAAGGUUAUGAACUGAGCGGUGUUCGCAUUGAGCAACCAGAGGGAAAAUAUUUCCAGAGCACUAGUCUAAGUAGUGCUGCUGAAGUGGAGCCCAGCCAAACACUUUCUGUGUUUUUGAGGAGUCCAAAUCAAUUCUGCAAUCAAAGUAAAGACUUACAUAUUUAUGAUCUUAAUACCCCACUCAGUUUGUUUUGGUUGUCCCAUGACACAGGUGCUGUGGCAAUCAAUGCACAGAUGUCAACAGCAGUGCAUUACCAAACCAACUAUCGACCUACCUUUAAAAUAAUUUCUGUUUCCGACCCUUACAUGCUAAGUUUAUCUCAUGAUGGCAGAGCUAUAAAGUUCACUGAAACUGGUGUUGUCAAAUUUGUGUUCCAUCAAGCACUGUAUUCCAUGGGUCAUACGUGUGUCCGGGAGGGCUUCUCCUUAAUUUCUUACAUCAACAGGAAUGGUACUAACAGAGAAUUAAUGAAUGUUUUUAAAUCUGGGGUAAAUUACAGAGACACAUCAAUAUCUGCUUCUGGGGCCACAAAAGUUGGUGCUGGAGAUCUGAUUAGCUUUGAGAUACUUUCUCCUGCGCAGUGUAAUGUUCGAUAUUUUGGAGACAGUUCUGGGAUUAGUAUGUUUAGCCUCAUCUGGAUCCCUUCAGCAGUUUCUACUGCUAUAUCAGCCACAGUUUCUGUUACAGGUCUGCCUACUGGAGCUGUGAGAAACAAAUUACUGGAUUUCACCCAGGUCUCAUCCAGUGAGAAACAAAUACAGCUGGUUUCUUCUGGACAGCUUGCUCAGAAGUAUUUCAUUUUUACCGAAAAAGGAAUUGCCAGCAUUGCCUUUAACUUAAAGCUGAUCCACUCAUGCAGUGUGCUCAAAAUGACUCUCAAUCAGUUGACCAUGGAUCACAUGCAGCCCACAGCAAUUGCUCAGCAGAUUGGUGGUCAGAUGCCAGAGGGAAGCGUAUGGACCAGUGUAUCUCUCCGUGCCUCCUUUGAAGUCCAUAAUGGAACGCUGGUAUCAGUUUCUCUUGACUGCGUGCGUGGAAGGAUCAACCAGAUCACUCAGGAACAUGGAACCAGUGUAUCUAUUUUAUGGAUUUCGUCUUAA